rnacentral:rRNA from 1 species
CUAACUGGAGGACCGAACCGACUAAUGUUGAAAAAUUAGCGGAUGACUUGUGGCUGGGGGUGAAAGGCCAAUCAAACCGGGAGAUAGCUGGUUCUCCCCGAAAGCUAUUUAGGUAGCGCCUCGUGAAUUCAUCUCCGGGGGUAGAGCACUGUUUCGGCAAGGGGGUCAUCCCGACUUACCAACCCGAUGCAAACUGCGAAUACCGGAGAAUGUUAUCACGGGAGACACACGGCGGGUGCUAACGUCCGUCGUGAAGAGGGAAACAACCCAGACCGCCAGCUAAGGUCCCAAAGUCAUGGUUAAGUGGGAAACGAUGUGGGAAGGCCCAGACAGCCAGGAUGUUGGCUUAGAAGCAGCCAUCAUUUAAAGAAAGCGUAAUAGCUCACUGGUCGAGUCGGCCUGCGCGGAAGAUGUAACGGGGCUAAACCAUGCACCGAAGCUGCGGCAGCGACGCUUAUGCGUUGUUGGGUAGGGGAGCGUUCUGUAAGCCUGCGAAGGUGUACUGUGAGGUAUGCUGGAGGUAUCAGAAGUGCGAAUGCUGACAUAAGUAACGAUAAAGCGGGUGAAAAGCCCGCUCGCCGGAAGACCAAGGGUUCCUGUCCAACGUUAAUCGGGGCAGGGUGAGUCGACCCCUAAGGCGAGGCCGAAAGGCGUAGUCGAUGGGAAACAGGUUAAUAUUCCUGUACUUGGUGUUACUGCGAAGGGGGGACGGAGAAGGCUAUGUUGGCCGGGCGACGGUUGUCCCGGUUUAAGCGUGUAGGCUGGUUUUCCAGGCAAAUCCGGAAAAUCAAGGCUGAGGCGUGAUGACGAGGCACUACGGUGCUGAAGCAACAAAUGCCCUGCUUCCAGGAAAAGCCUCUAAGCAUCAGGUAACAUCAAAUCGUACCCCAAACCGACACAGGUGGUCAGGUAGAGAAUACCAAGGCGCUUGAGAGAACUCGGGUGAAGGAACUAGGCAAAAUGGUGCCGUAACUUCGGGAGAAGGCACGCUGAUA